UAAAGGUCAUGCAGCAGCGGUCACGACGGGAGCAAGGCCUGCGACCUGCUCGAUCCGUUCCCUCCAUCAACACGGUUGUCACAGCCAGCGGCACCCAAACCAAAGGUGAGCAUAGUAGCCAUAGCCAGUGGUUUCCAGUGGAACCCACCUGCCUGAAAGUUUCUAGCAGUCCUGAAAACCUUCAUUAGAUGGUUCAAGUGUGUUUAAUUAGGGUUGCAGCUAAACUCUGCAGGACACUGACCCUCCAGGAGCAGGAUUGGACACCCUUGCUAUAUGUCUGUAACAUAUCUGGACCAAAAAUUACAUAGACUUUCAACUGGACAACUGGCAGCUUCUUUACUUAGCGUCUAUGUAAUGUCGCCAAGAAAGAAUGUGCCAACCGAAAUAAAAUGAGUGCGGCGACUAGCCGGUGUUCUCAAAAUAGUCUACAUCUUGUGAAACGGAAUGCAUUUUGCUAUUCUCUAGAAUAGAUCCUCCAGAAUAGUAAAGGGAGUUUACAGGAUGGCAAAUGUUUGCGUGGUGGAAUGCCUAUGUUGGAACCGGUAAUUAAACUGCUUCCUUUUCUGUCUGCAAUUUUAGGGAAAAGCCUCUCGGAUGACCAGACGGCAGCCGCGUCAUUGCCCCCGUUGCCGCUAGCCAAAACCCAGUGUCGAGACCGCAGCACCCAGUGUGAAGAACCUUCAGUUGAGACCAACCCUAAAACAGAACCAGCUCCACAAUCUUCCAUUGCUCCCAGUUCUGAUUCCACUGCUCUCAACACAAACCAGAUCAGCGGCACUGUUGAAAAAGACAUGGUGGAGAUUCUCAUCUGAGAUGAACGGUGUUCAGCUUGAUGCUGCCUGCUGUUCUUACACACAGAAGAUUCUCAUUGGAUGUCCAUUUGAGGACCAACCAUAUCAAGAGAAUCCUGUGCAUGCUAUGAGAAGAGCUCGCCAUUGAAGCAUCAGACAGAAAGAAGAACGAAUAGUGGGAGUAACCUAAACCUGAUCCUCGGUGAAGGAGAGCUGAGCUCUCCUGACAGUUCCGCCACACAUUAAAGGACAGUGUUCAUUCUCGGCUAUUGGCUCUCAACCUGGACUGUGAGACGUAUGGUCUGAAUGUGAGGUACUUGGACAGUACUCUACAGAGCUCCAAAAAGCUACCACAGUCCUUCUUAAGUGCUUAUAAACACAUUGUACAUGUUCUUUUGUAUUUAUGAGUAUU
ensembl:lncRNA